UUUUCAUUCCACUGCAAUGGAAGCCCUAGGGGUUUUCUCUCUCUCAUAAGCAAUGGAAGCCCUAGCCGCCCCUUAAGUGUUUUCUCUCUCUUAUGCUGUUUGCCCGAAAUGGCAAUUAUUGCGGGCCCUCAAAGCAUCCUAUGGACUAGGUGUGGUUGAAAAUGUUAAGAGCAUUUAUUUCUCUGUCAUUUUUCAACCAAUACCACCUCAUAUCAACCCAAACGAGAGUAUCUGGGGUUGAGGAAGCAAAAUCUUCCAAGUUCAAACCUCGACAAGUGGCUGCACUCGCAAAAGGUGUUGUGCUUGAGAUGCCACAAUUUGAGUGAGCAAUUGAGUAACUUCCUUAAGGUCAUCAUUUGAAAUACUUAAUGGAGGUGAAGGAGGCAUUGGAGCUUUUGUGGGCUGCACCACUCUCAUGGGAUGUAGGACUGAAGAUGUCUGACUUGAUUGGUGACCCUAAUCCCUUAUUUGAACCCUCGUAGCAAUUAACACUUCAUUCGAUACUACUUUCGGAGCGACAUUUGUCCUUUGACUCAUUUGGUCUUGUGCUUUGGUUGCAUUUUUUGUGAACAAGAACAAUACACAAAUUAGUAACUAUUCUUAGAGUCUAGCUCUAUCCACAA